rnacentral:rRNA from 1 species
GAUGAACGCUAGCGGCAAGCUUAAUACAUGCAAGUCGAGGGGCAGCAUGACUGUAGCAAUACAGUUGAUGGCGACCGGCAAACGGGUGCGGAACACGUACAGAACCUUCCUUCGAGCGGGGAAUAGCCCAGAGAAAUUUGGAUUAAUACCCCAUAGUAUAUUGGAGUGGCAUCACUUUGAUAUUAAAGAUUUAUCACUUGAAGAUGGCUGUGCGGCUGAUUAGAUAGUUGGCGGGGUAACGGCCCACCAAGUCUGCGAUCAGUAACUGGUGUGAGAGCACGACCAGUCACACGGGCACUGAGACACGGGCCCGACUCCUACGGGAGGCAGCAGUAAGGAAUAUUGGUCAAUGGACGAAGUCUGAACCAGCUAUGCCGCGUGGAGGAUGAAGG